rnacentral:misc_RNA from 1 species
AUGCGAUAAUUAAUGUGAAUUGCAGAAUUCAGUGAAUCAUCGAGUCUUUGAACGCACAUUGCACCCCCUGGUAUUCCGGGGGGUAUGCCUGUCCGAGCGUCAUUGCUGCCCUCAAGCCCGGCUUGUGUGUUGGGCCGUCGUCCCCCCGCCCCCGGGGGGACGGGCCCGAAAGGCAGCGGCGGCACCGCGUCCGGUCCUCGAGCGUAUGGGGCUCUGUCACCCGCUCUGUAGGCACCGGCCGGCGUCGGCCGACCCCCCAACCAUGUUUUUCUCAGGUUGACCUCGGAUCAGGUAGGGAUACCCGCUGAACUUAA